rnacentral:rRNA from 1 species
CCUACGGGUGGCAGCAGUAGGGAAUAUUGCUCAAUGGGGGAAACCCUGAAGCAGCAACGCCGCGUGGAGGAUGAAGGUUUUCGGAUUGUAAACUCCUUUUGUUAGAGAAGAUAAUGACGGUAUCUAACGAAUAAGCACCGGCUAACUCCGUGCCAGCAGCCGCGGUAAUACGGAGGGUGCAAGCGUUACUCGGAAUCACUGGGCGUAAAGAGCGCGUAGGCGGGAUAGCAAGUCAGAUGUGAAAUCCUAUGGCUUAACCAGAGAACUGCAUUUGAAACUGGUAUUCUAGAGUAUGGGAGAGGUAGGUGGAAUUCUUGGUGUAGGGGUAAAAUGCGUAGAGAUCAAGAGGAAUACUCAUUGCGAAGGCGACCUGCUAGAACAUAACUGACGCUGAUGCGCGAAAGCGUGGGGAGCAAACAGGAUUAGAUACCCCAGUAGUC